rnacentral:lncRNA from 1 species
GCGAUUCAAAAAGCCAGGUGGGAAGCCCUGUAGUAGGGACUCUGGCUUUGUCCCUGUUUCCCCCUUUUCUUCCUCUUCACCCACUAAAACCCUGUUUUACUCACGGUUCAAAUUGUUUGGCAGCCUGAAUUUUCAUGGCCAUGGGACAAAGAACCCCGUCUUUAGCUGAAUUAAGGAAAAGUUCUGCAACAUUUUUGACGUGCAACUUGGGGGCUCAAGCGGAGAAGCGAAGCAGAGCCCCUGGAAAACUCACAUAUGUGUCAACAAUAGUCCUUGAUGCCCCUGUAACAAAACUUGAGCAAGGCCUGGUGAUGAAGAGAUACAAGAUUGUCACCCAAGGAUUUGAUUAUACCUCUGUUGAAAGUUAAUGCACACUCAACCGAAUAUGGCAAUUGGUACUCUCAAUUCUAUAUUCUCAACAAUUACAGUGAAGAUACAAGUAGAAUACAAUCACUGCCACAUUUUUUGAAAUUCUGUGUAAACUGUAAUAUUCUGUCAACAUUAAUGACAUUUGAAGUGUCCUGUCAAAACAAUUGCAGCUACUUUAUGUAUAAAACAUAUUAAAUAGGCUCAUCCAACUUGCAUUCUUUAUUAAGCUUAUUUUCAUAUUUUUUCCUAUGGAUGAACUUAAAAAUAAUUUUGUUUCUUAAUUAAGAUUCUAUGCAUGAAGAUGCUGAAUAAUUUAAGACAAUUGUUCAUUCAAAUAGUUGCUAAUUACACCCUCCUGGCAUAGUUAUUGUAUUAUUACUACAUUUAGGAAUAAUAUGCUGUACUACUUGGACUUGAAAAUGUUUCUGACAUUUUAAUGAACACACUACUUAGUUAUAUUUUACAAGGGUUUUCAGUGAACCACAGAGGAUUAAAAAAUGUCAUUCAAGGGUUGUAGAUAAUUAAACUGACUGAAUAUAAGAAGCCUCAUAUGGAAGUGAAAAUUAUGUAUGAAUUUUGUUGAGCUGGAAAUGUGUUUUACUAAAUGACUUCAGAUUUGUUACUUUUAAAUACAAGAUGAAGGGAAUCAAGGGGAUACUUUCUUCUCACCUCAAUUUGUUCCAUUUGCAUAAGCUAUUUUAUCUUUCAAUAUCCCUUUUGAUAUUUCAUUUUGGCCCUUGAAUACACUAAAGAUUAUUUAAAAUAAAUAAAUGUUGACUUUGAAAUACUGCUAUAUAUAUUCAUUGCAAUACAUCAGGUGGGAAAUUGGUGCAAUUCAGUCACACACACAACCUCAUAGAUCAGAUUUCCAGUUAAGUUUUAAUAGAAAGAGAUUUUAGAUAGACAUGACUUUCAAUAAAAUGGAAGAAUUUUUAUUAGUUUCAAAAUAAUGAUUUUACUUGCUUAUCAACACAGUUGACCUUUCCCCACAGUACUAUGAUCUUCUUAGUACCUCUGCUAUAAUUAUAUUAAUGUCUUCCUAUAUCUAGAAAUUUGAUUAUUAUUCUAUUUUUAUGGAUCAUUAAAUUUUUCUAUUCAAGAAUGAUCCCUAUAGUCAACUUCCUGAGGGAUUUCUGCUUGCUAUUUUCUGUUUCAAUUGUGUGCAUUUCAUAUUUACUAUUAAAGAUUUUAAAUAAUGACACAUUGUUUAAGCGGUUGUAAGUCUGAUUGUUAUAAAGCUCUCUGGAGAAUUCUGUAAGCUUUCACAUCUGAUGGAGAACUUCAAUGAGAACAUCUUUAAUGUGGAAUUCUUGGACAAGAAACUACAGAUUAUCCAUGGUUCAGAAGAUAUGAUGAAUUAGUAACUAUUUUUCCGUACAUAAAAAGUCAAUCUUCCUAACCAGUUUGUUGUUUUAGCUAAAUGAAUCGGUCAAAUAUUUUAGUUAUAUUAGCAAUAUUUUGUCUCUAAAAUAUCUUGACAUAAAACUAUUACUAUGCAUAUAUUAUUAACCAUGAUCUUGUAUAGCUCUAUUUCAAGCGUAUUACUAACCAUAACGAAAAUAACUUUUAAUACUGAAAUACAUCAUCGAACUUCUAAGACUUUUUCUAUUUAAAAUUCCUAAGAUUUGUAAAAUUCUAUCAACGUAGUUACUUAAAGCAAAACAAGUUGCGUUAUAGUUUCUUAAAACAACAUUUUUUAUAUUGUACUUUUUAAAAACAACAUUUCCCAGCUACCACUUUUGGCAAGAAAUUGAGAGUUUAAACCUGUUGAAAGGAAUAUAAGAUGAGUGUAUGUGUCUCACAGUCAUAAUUAAAAUGUGUUUAUGAACAUGUA